AACGAACGCUGGCGGCAUGCCUAACACAUGCAAGUCGAACGAUUGCCUUCGGGUGAUAGUGGCGCACGGGUGCGUAACGCGUGGGAAUCUGCCCUUAGGUUCGGAAUAACAGCUGGAAACGGCUGCUAAUACCGGAUGAUAUCGCGAGAUCAAAGAUUUAUCGCCUGAGGAUGAGCCCGCGUUGGAUUAGGUAGUUGGUGGGGUAAAGGCCUACCAAGCCGACGAUCCAUAGCUGGUCUGAGAGGAUGAUCAGCCACACUGGGACUGAGACACGGCCCAGACUCCUACGGGAGGCAGCAGUGGGGAAUAUUGGACAGUGGGCGCAAGCCUGAUCCAGCAAUGCCGCGUGAGUGAUGAAGGUCCUAGGGUUGUAAAGCUCUUUUACCCGGGAAGAUAAUGACUGUACCGGGAGAAUAAGCCCCGGCUAACUCCGUG
rnacentral:rRNA from 1 species